rnacentral:tRNA from 1 species
GAGGUUGUAGUUCAGUGGCAGAGCACUUACCUAGCAUGCAUGAGGCCCUGAGUUCAAUUCCCAGUACUGUUA